UGAAUGGUUUAAUGAGGGCACGACUGUCUCCUGCAGCUAGUCAAUGAAAUUGAUAAUUCAGUACAAAUGCUGAAAUAUUAACACAAGACGAGAAGACCCUGUGGAACUUUUAACUAACCUGCCAGCAGUAAUCAACCAACCAACCACCCCUAGCAGACAGUUUAAGUUGGGGCAACUACGGAGCACAACAAAACCUCCAUGAAACACGAAUACCAUUCGUCACCAAGGCCCACACGCCAACACAUUAAGCUUGACCCAGUAAAACUGAAUUUCGAACCAAGCUACCCCAGGGAUAACAGCGCAAUCCCCUUCAAGAGUCCCUAUCGCCAAGGGGGCUUACGACCUCGAUGUUGGAUCAGGACACCCCGGCGGUGCAGCCGCUGCCAAAGGCUCGUUUGUUCAACGAAUAAUGUCCU
rnacentral:rRNA from 1 species